rnacentral:rRNA from 1 species
UACGUAGGGGGCGAGCGUUGUCCGGAAUUAUUGGGCGUAAAGAGCGUGUAGGCGGUCCGGUAAGUCGGCUGUGAAAGUCCAGGGCUCAACCCUGGGAUGCCGGUCGAUACUGCCGGACUAGAGUUCGGAAGAGGCGAGUGGAAUUCCCGGUGUAGCGGUGAAAUGCGUAGAGAUCAGGAAGAACAUCGGUGGCGAAGGCGCUCUGCUGGACCAUAACUGACACUCAGGGACGAAAGCUAGGGGAGCGAAUGGG